UAUGCAUGGUUGAUCUCCCACACUUUUCCAGAUUCUUCAUCCCCUUUCUGGACCCACUAUCUCCUCAAUAGCCAAGAGAUCUUGAUGUAUCAAAGUCCCAUAAGGGGACUCCAGCUGAGAUUCGCCCCAGGUUCUCUCACUUUGAGGCUUCUUUCUGAUCCAGGAGCUACUUAGGCAAUAUGUUCACACGUGGAAUUAACAUUAUCUAAAUUCCAGAGAAAGUGCUGACUGGACAUUCAAGCCCAGAGAUUUUUUAAAACUAGAAAUCUUACUGUGUCCGGAAUUUAUUCCUUCUGGUGGGUUCUCGAUCUCGCUGUCUUCAAGAACGAAGCCACGGAGACUCCCGGCUGUGUGCCCUUACCUAUGGCAGUCAGCUGCCACCUGCUCAGAUGGAUGGACACCAGCAGCCUCCUCCCUGAUUGGGAAGUUGGACCACAUGGAGGGAAGACGACUUCUUCCCACAAGAAGGUUCCCUUCUACUCGAGUGGACUGGAGCCCUGAGCUUAUUCCUCAAGGAAAUUUUCUCUCUGGAAGAAAUCCAAUCCUAUCAGACUCAGACAAAAGCCCUGUCACUGGGGUUGUGGGAAAAAGGAACACCAUACACGGCAGCCCUAACUCUUGCAGAGAGAAUAUGUUAAAUCAUAAAGCAAGAUCAUAUAUGAUCGCAUCUCAAAGUGUGCAAAACAGGUAACUGCUACAGUAAGUUA